GACGAACGCUGGCGGCGUGCUUAACACAUGCAAGUCGAACGGAAAGGCCCUGCUUUUGUGGGGUGCUCGAGUGGCGAACGGGUGAGUAACACGUGAGUAACCUGCCCUUGACUUUGGGAUAACUUCAGGAAACUGGGGCUAAUACCGGAUAGGAGCUCCUGCUGCAUGGUGGGGGGGGGAAAGUUUCGGCGGUUGGGGAUGGACGCGCGCCUUAUCAGCUUGUUGGUGGGGUAGUGGCUUACCAAGGCUUUGACGGGUAGGCGGCCUGAGAGGGUGACCGGCCACAUUGGGACUGAGAUGCGGCCCAGACUCCUACGGGAGGCAGGAGUGGGGUAUAGUGCACAAUGGGCGGAACCCAUACGCAGCAGCGCCGCGUGCGGGAUGACGGCCUUCGGGUUGUAAACCGCUUUCGCCUGUGACGAAGCGUGAGUGACGGUAAUGGGUAAAGAAGCACCGGCUAACUACGUG
rnacentral:rRNA from 1 species